AUGCAAUUAUCGUGUAACAAGUAUUCACGGUCCAAAACCCUGGCACAAGUCACAGCGCAACCGAAUGACUGUCCUUUUUGGAAGGGGCUGAUGAGGACAAAGGUCACCUUCAUCAAUAGGAGUAAAUUCAUUGUAGGGGAUGGAAACACUACUAGAUUUUGGAAACAUACCUAGCUAGGGGAGACACCAUUAGCCUUGCAUUGUCAAACAAAGACGCUUUUGUAA
rnacentral:rRNA from 1 species